AAACACAGGAACUGGGCAUCACCAGCCUGGAAGGGCUAGGGGCCUCGCAGUGCAUCCCUCUUCCAGGCAUAGAUCAUCAUCUUUUGUAUACGGCCACGGUGCCAGCAGCUGGCAACGCUGACAUGAACAGGUGCAAGAAGGGCCUAACAAUGUGUUGAUCAACUGACACCCACAGACUUCUGACUCCUGAGCCCUUAGUUCCGGUCUGCUGAGUCACCACUAAUGUUUGCCUGCACAUGCUCCAAGAGUGUGCCUGGGGUCUAAGGAAGCCCAAAGAGGGCAUUGAGUCCUCUGGAACUGCAGUUACAGAUGGUUCUAAGAGACCAUAUGAAUGCUGGGAAUGGAACCCGAGUCCUCUGCAAGAACAGCAAAUGCCCUUAACUGCUGGGCCACCCCUCCAACUCGGAAGAUUUUCUUCAAAAUGCGGCUUAAGUGAAGAGGGAACCAGCACAGGGCGAAGAUGACAACCAAGCAGAAGACGGUCUUUGCCACUUCUCGACGCUAAGGGCAAGUUCAUGCAAACAAGGAUAAAGAUUACGAUGUAAACUCUCAGCUACUGCCCCAGCGACUGCUUGCCUGCUGCCAUGCUCCCUGCUAUGAUGUCAUGAACUCAUGACAUCUAAACCGAUCUGGCUGUGUGGCUCUGGAUGCUGCCUCGCCCUCCCGAGUGCUGGAAUCUGGAAUGGCAGUGCUUUGAUACCAUGCCCAGCUACCAGUUCUUGUGCUUUUUAUGAUAGCUCAUCAGGGAGGAGUUUGGAAGCUGUGGAAGCCUGUUCCAAGAGAGAAAACGAGCCCGUACGCUUGUGGACUUAAACAGGAGCCUAGCAAAACUGUCUCCUGAGAGGCUUCAUCUAGCAGCAAAUGGAAACAUAUACAGAGACCCACAGCCAAACAUCAGGUGGAGCUCAGAAACACUAGUGUUAAGGCAGCAGAAUCAGUAACUCUCCACUGGUAACGAAGUUGGAGUUGUGUCCUUGCAGGAGGAGAGCUUUGGCUGGAAAGAAGCUGAAUGUCCAUCCUCUUUAAUGUUAGGAAACUCUGAGACACGCUGAAAAGAAGAACCUUGGCCCAGAGCAUCAUAGUGAAGUUGUUUUGGCGACCUUCCUUUUUAAGAUCUUUGGCUGUGGGUGAGCUAUGUGACCUGGGAAAUGUAAGGUGAGCUGUUGCUGCAGAUGUAGCCCAGACACAGGGCACAAAAAGCCGCUCAUCUUUUGUCCUUUCAGAAACUGCAACUCUAUGACCCAAUGAAAGCAGUUUUUAAGUUCAAGCCAUCUGCCAGUUUAUGUGACGUGACAAUAAGUUAAUUUAAUAGAUGUUUAUUUUCCUCAUUUUAGAGACAUUACUAAUUCUAGCUUAUGUUCGAAUUCAAUAUAAUAUUUGUGCAAAAUACAAAUGAAGUGUAUAUAUAGUCUGUGACAGUUAGUUUUAAUUGUCAACUUGACAUAACCCAGAAUCACAUGGAAAAGGAAUCUCAGUGAGGGAUGGUCUACAUCAGAUUGUUCUGUGGGCACAUCUAAGUGGGAUUGUCUCGAUCACCUGCAUUGAUGUGAAAAUCCAGGCCAGCAUAAUUAGCACUGCUCCCUAGACAAGAGGCCAUGCGUAUGGAGCCAAGCACAGGCAAGCAAGCAAGCGAGCAAACAAGCAAGCAUGCAUUCAUCUCUCUUCUUGACCCUGGCUGCAAUGUGAUAGACUAUAACCUGGAAGCAUAAGGCGGUGAAAUCCCUUUUCCCUUAAUUUGAUUUUUGUCAGGAUAUGCUUAUCACAGCAACAGAAAUGAAACUAUAUUAGCAUUUAUUCCUAUUAAUCCUGUUAUUAUCUAUAAAUUUUCCAGAAAGAAUAAGUUAUCAAAUACUGGAUAUUGCACUGGCAGGAAAUACGGGGUUAUGUUCCUGUGAGUCUCUGAUCCCUUGUUCACCAACAGACCAAUUUAUAACCUUGAUUUUUCUGUCUUUAUGUUCAAUGGCACUACUUAGUAUGUGUUGUUGAUUCAUUGGCAUGGGACUCAUGGUCAACAGCAUUGUAGCUCAUGCCUUGGUGAAGGCUGCCUGACACACAUACCAUUCACUGGCACACCACAGCUUUCUUGUACUUAGAAAUAUGAAAUGGUACUUCAGCACCAGCUCAGGGGUCAUUUUACAUGCCAGAAUCCCCACACAAACGUGCAAAAAAAACAAAAAACAAAAAACAAAAACAAAAAACGAAAAACUGUGGUGCUCGGUAGAGUGUAAAAGAACACUUAUUCACGGUGUGGAAACUGGAAUGUGAAGUCAGAAGUUUGCUUGGUUCAUCAAAUUUGAGGUUGUAUGGGUAGGACCUCAAACAUUUCCUGGCUCUGUGGACACAGGGAGGAUCGAUUUGGGGGUUACAAAUCCUUUUGACAGAUGGCAAACUCACAAAUGUGGAAUCCUUGGAACAAAAAAAAAAAAUUCACCAGUUGGGCUGGAGAGAUGGCUCAGUGGUUAAGAAUAGUGAUUGCUCUUCCAGAUGUCCUGAGUUCAAUUCCCAGCAACCACAUGGUGGCUCACAACCAUCUGUAAUAGGAUCUGGUGCCUUCUUCUGGUGUGUCUGAAGACAGCAACAGUGUACUUCCAUUCAUUAAAUAAAUAAAUUUUC
ensembl:processed_transcript